UACGUAGGGUGCAAGCGUUAAUCGGAAUUACUGGGCGUAAAGGGCGCGUAGGCGGCCUGCUAAGUCGAACGUGAAAUCCCCGGGCUCAACCCGGGAACUGCGUCCGAUACUGGAAGGCUUGAAUCCGGGAGAGGGAUGCGGAAUUCCAGGUGUAGCGGUGAAAUGCGUAGAUAUCUGGAGGAACACCGGUGGCGAAGGCGGCAUCCUGGACCGGCAUUGACGCUGAGGCGCGAAAGCCAGGGGAGCAAACGGG
rnacentral:rRNA from 1 species